UACGUAGGGGGCAAGCGUUGUCCGGAAUCAUUGGGCGUAAAGCGCGUGUAGGCGGCCCGGUAAGUCCGCUGUGAAAGUCGGGGGCUCAACCCUCGAAUGCCGGUGGAUACUGGCGGGCUCGAGGCCGGUAGGGGGAAGUGGAAUUCCCGGUGUAGUGGUGGAAUGCGUAGAUAUCGGGAGGAACACCAGUGGCGAAGGCGGCUUCCUGGACCGGUUCUGACACUGAGGAGCGAAAGCGUGGGGAGCGAUCCGG
rnacentral:rRNA from 1 species